rnacentral:rRNA from 1 species
UACGUAGGUGGCAAGCGCUGUCCGGAUUUAUUGGGUUUAAAGGGUGCGUAGGCGGUUCUCUAAGUCAGUGGUGAAAUACGGCAGCUCAACUGUCGAGGUGCCAUUGAUACUGGAGGACUUGAGUACUGAUGAGGUAGGCGGAAUGGACGGUGUAGCGGUGAAAUGCUUAGAUAUCGUCCAGAACACCGAUAGCGAAGGCAGCUUACUAAGGAGUAACUGACGCUGAGGCACGAAAGUGUGGGGAUCAAACAGG